AUUGAACGCUGGCGGCAGGCCUAACACAUGCGAGUCGAACGGUAACAGAAAGCAGCUUGCUGCUUUGCUGACGAGUGGCGGACGGGUGAGUAAUGUCUGGGAAACUGCCUGAUGGAGGGGGAUAACUACUGGAAACGGUAGCUAAUACCGCAUAACGUCGCAAGACCAAAGAGGGGGACCUUCGGGCCUCUUGCCAUCGGAUGUGCCCAGAUGGGAUUAGCUAGUAGGUGGGGUAACGGCUCACCUAGGCGACGAUCCCUAGCUGGUCUGAGAGGAUGACCAGCCACACUGGAACUGAGACACGGUCCAGACUCCUACGGGAGGCAGCAGUGGGGAAUAUUGCACAAAGGGCGCAAGCCUGAUGCAGCCAUGCCGCGUGUAUGAAGAAGGCCUUCGGGUUGUAAAGUACUUUCAGCGGGGAGGAAGGGAGUAAAGUUAAUACCUUUGCUCAUUGACGUUACCCGCAGAAGAAGCACCGGCUAACUCCGUG
rnacentral:rRNA from 1 species